rnacentral:rRNA from 1 species
GAUGAACGCUGGCGGCGUGCCUAAUACAUGCAAGUCGAGCGAACAGAUGAGGAGCUUGCUCCUCUGACGUUAGCGGCGGACGGGUGAGUAACACGUGGAUAACCUACCUAUAAGACUGGGAUAACUUCGGGAAACCGGAGCUAAUACCGGAUAAUAUAUUGAACCGCAUGGUUCAAUAGUUAAAGACGGUUUUGCUGUCACUUAUAGAUGGAUCCGCGCCGCAUUAGCUAGUUGGUAAGGUAACGGCUUACCAAGGCAACGAUGCGUAGCCGACCUGAGAGGGUGAUCGGCCACACUGGAACUGAGACACGGUCCAGACUCCUACGGGAGGCAGCAGUAGGGAAUCUUACGCAAUGGACGAAAGCCUGACGGAGCAACGCCGCGUGAGUGAUGAAGGUCUUCGGAUCGUAAAACUCUGUUAUUAGGGAAGAACAAAUGUGUAAGUAACUAUGCACGUCUUGACGGUACCUAAUCAGAAAGCCACGGCUAACUACGUG